AGCUAGAUGGAUUUAUAUUUAGUGUGCUCUGCCCACUGAUAUUUAAAUGGCCGCAGUACUUUGACUGUGCUAAGGUAGCAUAAUCAAUUGGCUUAUAAUUGAAGUCUAGAAUGAAUGAGUAAAUGGGGGGAUUCUGUCUCCAGUAUAUUUUUUUGAAGUUGCUAAUAAGGUGAAAAUACCUUAAUUAAUUUAAAAGACGAGAAGACCCUUAGAGUUUUUUUGUUGGGGUGACAAAUAAGCAAACCUUAUUUUACGAAAAAUAAAACUACCUUAGGGAUAACAGCAUAAUUCAAUAAUGAGUUUAUGACCUCGAUGUUGGACUAGGAUAAUUAUAAUGAGAAAUUUAAAAUUAUGGUUCUGUUCGAACCGGCACUCCU
rnacentral:rRNA from 1 species